GUGGGGAAUAUUGGGCAAUGGGCGAAAGCCUGACCCAGCAACGCCGCGUGAGGGAAGAAGGCCUUCGGGUUGUAAACCUCUGUCCUUGGUGACGAAAAAAAUGACGGUAGCCAAGGAGGAAGCCCCGGCUAACUACGUGCCAGCAGCCGCGGUAAUACGUAGGGGGCGAGCGUUGUCCGGAAUUACUGGGCGUAAAGGGUGCGUAGGUGGCCUUUUAAGUUGGAUGUGAUAUACCCGGGCUUUACUUGGGGUGUGAAACUAAUACUGGAGGGCUAGAGUGCAGGAGAGGGAAGCGGAAUUCCUAGUGUAGCGGUGAAAUGCGUAGAUAUUAGGAGGAACACCAGUGGCGAAGGCGACUUACUGGGCCGUAACUGACGCUGAGGCGCGAAAGCGUGGGGAGCGAACAGGAUUAGAUACCCGUGUAGUCC
rnacentral:rRNA from 1 species